CCAAACUUGGUCAUUUAGAGGAAGUAAAAGUCGUAACAAGGUUUCCGUAGGUGAACCUGCGGAAGGAUCAUUAUAAAAAUAUGGUCAAACCAUUCUCCUGUGAUUUACGUAAUGUGUAUACUUUGGCAGGCUUUGGGUCGUUAUCGAUUCAUCUUCUACGUUUCGUGUAUAUGCUUCGCCAUGCGCACGAAGGUUUGAAGCUGGCCUGCCAGAGGUUUUCAAUAAACACACACGUUUAAACUACAGUCUGAAAAUCUCUUUCGAGAGAAUAAAAACAAAUAUAAAUACAACUUUCAACAACGGAUCUCUUGGCUCUCGCAUCGAUGAAGAACGCAGC
rnacentral:misc_RNA from 1 species